ensembl:lncRNA
GUCAUUUUCCCUGAUUGAUUAGUGUCCUAUUUACGUUGCCUGUUUUUCGUCCUUAGUUGUUGUACCGUUAAUACAACUUAAGUCACAUUUGUGGUUGGUUCUGUUAUGACUGUUAUUGCCUUUUGUUUAUGCACUGUGGCUUGAUUUUUAUUUUUUUUAGAGUGCUUUUUCUUGAGGUUUAUUUUUUAACUUUACUAAGUUCCUGAUAGUCCUGGUACCCAUGUGUUUUUACCUGUUCCCCGAGCCUGUUCCUGUAUCUGUCUGCAAAGAAGCCAAGAAGAAAUAAAUGCUUCUGUGCUCCGCUGGGGAUGUCGCUCCCUAACCCUCACCCUAACCCUAACCGUCUUCCUGCAUAGGAGCUGUAUAAAGUCCAUCUUCAAAUGCAAAUUAGAAAAAGUGACAUGGAGAUGGACCUUCUACAACUUCAAAUGGAGGGAAAAAAGGAGAUAAAUAAACAAUGAACCACACUUGACUGUUCACUUUGUGCAUUAGUCUUUUAAUUAUAAGUGAUUUUGGCAGAUCACAUCAACACCCUGCAAUCUCUCUAGUCCACUGUGUUCACUUGGGGAUUGUCUUGAUCAUGUUCAUAAAGAGGGCCUUGAAAUAUGCUGGUGUUGUGUAGGUGAUCACUGGUGUGUGUGUGUGUGUGUGUGUGUGUGUGUGUGUGUAGGUGACACUGGUGUGUGUGUGUGUGUAGGUGAUCACUGGUGUGUGUAGGUGAUCACUGGUGUGUGUAGGUGAUCACUGGUGUGUGUGUGUGUGUGUGUGUGUGUAGGUGAUCACUGGUGUGUUUAGGUGAUCACUGGUGUGUGUGUGUGUGUGUGUGUCUAGGUGAUCACUGGUGUGUAGGUGAUCAGUGGUGUGUGUGUAGGUGAUCACUGGUGUGUGUGAGUCUAGAUGAUCACUGGUGUGUGUGUGUAGG